AUGCUCCGGCUCCGGUGCUGCGUCCUCACUCAGCUUCUCUCUUCUCCACCCCCGUCUCCCGCCUCCCAGCUCCGCCGCCUCAUCUCCGCCGCAGCGCCCGCCAUCUCCCCGAACCCUACCAGCUUCGCCGUAGAGGACUACCUCGUCGAAACCUGCGGCCUCGCCCGACCGCAGGCGCUCGAGGCCUCCGCCAAGCUCUCCCACCUCAAGUCCCCCGCCAAUCCCGACGCCGUCCUCGCCUUCCUCGCCGGCCUCGGCCUCUCCGGUGCCGACGUCGCCUCCGUCGUCGCCAAGGACCCGCUGUUCCUCUGCGCCAAAGUGGAGAGGACCCUGGCCCCCGUCGUCGCGGGGCUCACCGGCCUCGGCCUGUCGCGCUCCGAGAUCGCGCGCCUCGUCUCGCUCUCCCGUCACAGAUUCCGCCGUAUGUCCACCGUCUCCAAUGUGCAGUACUACCUGCGCUUGUUCGGUUCCUUCCAGAACCUCCUCCGUGCUGUCAGCCGUGGCUUAUGCCUUCUCUCGACCAACCUCGAGACGGUGGUCAAGCCCAAUGUCGCGUUCCUGCGGGAGUGCAGGCUAGGUGACUCCAACAUUGCCAAGUUGAGCGUCGCCCAGCCAUGGCUGCUCGCCUCCAACUUGGAGCGCGUCCAGGAAGUGGUGGCACUUGCCGAAGGUAUAGGUGUGCCUCGUGGCUGUAGGAUGUUCAGACACGCAUUGAACGCUGUUGGACGCCUCAGCGAGGGGAAGAUCGCCGCCAAAGUGGAUUACCUGAAGGCGACGUUUAGGUGGUCAGAUGCUGAGGUCUGCAUUGUUGUGUCCAAGUUUCCAUUCGUGCUGAUAAGUUCUAACCAGAUGCUGCAGAGCAAGUCAGAGUUCCUAAUCUCUGAGGCGGGGUUGGAACCGGCAUACAUCGCUCAUCGGCCGGCAUUGCUCUUGUACAGCCUGGAGGGCCGGAUCAAACCCCGGUACUAUGUUCUAAAGUUUAUUAAGGAAAAUGGAUUGCUUCGUCAUGACCGAGAUUACUAUAAUGCAGUCAUGCUGGCAGAGAAGGUAUUCAUGGAGAAGUUCAUAUGCCCUCAUAAGGAAGCUGCGCCGCACCUCACAAAAGACUAUGAUGCCGCUUGCAAAGGGGAAAUACCGACUAAUUUCAGAUUCACAUGA
rnacentral:rRNA from 1 species